rnacentral:tRNA from 1 species
GGGGUUGUAGUUCAGUUGGUUAGAACGCCGGCCUGUCACGCCGGAGGUCGCGAGUUCGAGCCUCGUCGACCCCGCCA